rnacentral:lncRNA from 1 species
GACAACAAUGCUACUUCUUCCUUAGAAAAAUGAAAAAAAGGCAGACACGUUACAUGCUCUAGUUUAAGUAUGUUCCAGAUACUUCCUCUUAAGCAAAAGCCUUCACUUAACUGCCUGUUAGCCACCAAACUACUAGACUGCGUGUAUCAGGGAGUCAUACUUGACCUUGCUGAAAAAAUGUACGCCUGUGGGAUGGCAACAAGGCGAAAAUUACUGUGUCUUUUCUCACCUUAGCUCUGCAGAAGGGCUCUAAGAUUUUCGUAAAAUGUCCUGUCCUCUAACAAAAUGAAACUUCCCCACUGCUUGUUAGUAUCUUUCCUUGAUCUAAUCAGUAAGGAAACGAAGAGCUUGUUUUUCAUGGCUUGCUUUCUAAAUUUUCUGUGAGUAGGAAUUUAAUCAUCAUGGUCCUUUUUUUUAAUUAGAAUGGACUAGACUUAAAAUGUUAUUAUCAGCCUAGAUGUCUAAAUUUCUCAUGGCAAGGAUGGGUCCUUCUGUGUAGAAUUCUUCAUUUAAGGGAGCUGCAGGGAUUUCCUGAGCCAGCAAGGGACCAUGGGGAUGUGGCACGCUGGAGAACACCGCUGUCCAGCUGCAGUCACCGAACUGUGCUUCUUCCUCACAAGCUUCUCUCCAAACCAGCUUUGUGGAGCAGCCUGGGGUGUGCUGUGGGGCUGGUCAUCCUCUGUCAUCCCAGGGAGGUCUGGGACCUCAUCCUGUGGGAAGUCUUUAACUUUCUGGCUGGCAUGAAGUCGGCCCUGUGAUGGGCUGAGGGGCCCACUGACCCUGUGAGCAGGUGUGGGGUCAAGAGGGAGGAGUAGGCUGGGAAGGAGGAGGAGUCCCUGCUGCCCACCGGACACCUGUCCAAUCCAUGGGGUGUGUUCUAAACCCCUGACUCAGAAAUGGCC